rnacentral:rRNA from 1 species
AGUCGAGGGGCAGCACAGGUAGCAAUACCGGGUGGCGACCGGCGCACGGGUGAGUAACGCGUAUGCAACUUGCCUAUCAGAGGGGGAUAACCCGGCGAAAGUCGGACUAAUACCGCAUGAAGCAGGGGCCCCGCAUGGGGAUAUUUGCUAAAGAUUCAUCGCUGAUAGAUAGGCAUGCGUUCCAUUAGGCAGUUGGCGGGGUAACGGCCCACCAAACCGACGAUGGAUAGGGGUUCUGAGAGGAAGGUCCCCCACAUUGGUACUGAGACACGGACCAAACUCCUACGGGAGGCAGCAGUGAGGAAUAUUGGUCAAUGGGCGUAAGCCUGAACCAGCCAAGUCGCGUGAGGGAUGAAGGUUCUAUGGAUCGUAAACCUCUUUUAUAAGGGAAUAAAGUGCGGGACGUGUCCCGUUUUGUAUGUACCUUAUGAAUAAGGAUCGGCUAACUCCGUGCCAGCAGCCGCGGUAAUACGGAGGAUCCGAGCGUUAUCCGGAUUUAUUGGGUUUAAAGGGUGCGUAGGCGGCCUUUUAAGUCAGCGGUGAAAGUCUGUGGCUCAACCAUAGAAUUGCCGUUGAAACUGGGGGGCUUGAGUAUGUUUGAGGCAGGCGGAAUGCGUGGUGUAGCGGUGAAAUGCUUAGAUAUCACGCAGAACCCCGAUUGCGAAGGCAGCCUGCCAAGCCAUGACUGACGCUGAUGCACGAAAGCGUGGGGAUCAAACAGGAUUAGAUACCCUGGUAGUCCACGCAGUANACGAUGAUCACUAGCUGUUNGCGAUACAGUGUAAGCGGCACAGCGAAAGCGUUAAGUGAUCCACCUGG